GACGAACGCUGGCGGCGUGCUUAACACAUGCAAGUCGAACGGAAAGGCCCUGCUUUUGUGGGGUGCUCGAGUGGCGAACGGGUGAGUAACACGUGAGUAACCUGCCCUUGACUUUGGGAUAACUUCAGGAAACUGGGGCUAAUACCGGAUAGGAGCUCCUGCUGCAUGGUGGGGGUUGGAAAGUUUCGGCGGUUGGGGAUGGACUCGCGGCUUAUCAGCUUGUCGGUGGGGUAGUGGCUUACCAAGGCUUUGACGGGUAGCCGGCCUGAGAGGGUGACCGGCCACAUUGGGACUGAGAUACGGCCCAGACUCCUACGGGAGGCAGCAGUGGGGAAUAUUGCACAAUGGGCGGAAGCCUGAUGCAGCAACGCCGCGUGCGGGAUGACGGCCUUCGGGUUGUAAACCGCUUUCGCCUGCGACGAAGCGUGAGUGACGGUAAUGGGUAAAGAAGCACCGGCUAACUACGUG
rnacentral:rRNA from 1 species